rnacentral:rRNA from 1 species
GACGAACGCUGGCGGCGUGCCUAACACAUGCAAGUCGAACGGAACUGUUUUGAAAGAUUUCUUCGGAAUGAAUUUGAUUUAGUUUAGUGGCGGACGGGUGAGUAACGCGUGAGUAACCUGCCUUCAAGAGGGGGAUAACAUUCUGAAAAGAAUGCUAAUACCGCAUGACAUAUCGGAAUCACAUGGUUUUGAUAUCAAAGAUUUUAUCGCUUGAAGAUGGACUCGCGUCCGAUUAGUUAGUUGGUGAGGUAACGGCUCACCAAGACCGCGAUCGGUAGCCGGACUGAGAGGUUGAACGGCCACAUUGGGACUGAGACACGGCCCAGACUCCUACGGGAGGCAGCAGUGGGGGAUAUUGCGCAAUGGGGGCAACCCUGACGCAGCAACGCCGCGUGAAGGAUGAAGGUUUUCGGAUUGUAAACUUCUUUUAUUAAGGACGAAACUUGACGGUACUUAAUGAAUAAGCUCCGGCUAACU